CAUUGUAAUGGAAAAAAAAAGAGAGGGUUUUUCGACACAUUGAAUAAUUAUUUUUACAAAGAACUGUAUGGAUAUCUAAAAUAAAGCGUUGAGAUACAUUAUGUUUUCUCUAAAACCUUCUAUCUUGGGGUAAAAUAAAAAUUCACCUAUGAAGCACGGAUACUUCAAAUUUCAUGCCGUUCCUGUAUCAGACAUAUAUUGGAUACCGAUACGC
rnacentral:lncRNA from 1 species